AUUUAUAUAAUAUAAAAAUUAUAUUUAACUUCCAAUUAAAAAAUUUACUUACAAGUAAUAUAAAUA
rnacentral:tRNA from 1 species